AUUGAACGCUGGCGGCAGGCUUAACACAUGCAAGUCGAGCGAGCCGCGGACGGGUGUGUCAUGUCUGGGAAACUGCCUGAUGGAGGCGGAUAACUACUGGUAACGGUCGCUAAUACCGCAUACCAUCUCCUUUUCCCAUAUGUGAUUAGCUAGUGGGUUGGGUAAUGGCUAACCUCGGCGACGAUCCCUAGCUGGUCUGAGAGGAUGACCAGCCACUCUGGAACUGAGACCCGGUCCAGACUCCUACGUGAGGCAGCAGUGGGGAAUAUUGCACAAUGGGCGCAAGCCUGAUGCAGCCAUGCCGCGUGUGUGAAGAAGGCCUUCGGGUUGUAAAGCACUUUCAGCGAGGAGGCGUUACUCGAAGAAGAAGCACCGGCUAACUCCGUGCCAGCAGCCGCGGUAAUUG
rnacentral:rRNA from 1 species